ACAAAAGCCGGCCUCUUCAACGCCAUUUGACAGGCGUUGAAGAGGCCGGCUUCAUU
rnacentral:sRNA from 1 species